GUGUAACUGAAUCUGGGCUCCGAUCUCUUUAAUAAUUCGUUUUUUACAAAGCGAUGAAGAUCGAUCACAGAGUUAUGACAAUCCAGCCUGCGAUUAAGAUCACGAUGAUUAAUCUGAUUGAUGAGAACGUGGCGAGAGAGAUUGUGUUUUAAUAUAAUCAUGUUUAAAGAGGUGGUUUUGACCCUAACGGAUAUCACCAUUGCUAUGGAUUAUGCUGCUGGCGGUGAGUUAUUUGAGCGCUGGAAGAUUCAGUGAGGAUGAGGCAAGAUACUUUUUCCAGCGGCUUAUAUCAGGAUUCAGCUAUUGCCACGCUAUGCAAAUAUGCCACAGAGAUGUCAAGCUUGAAAAUACGUGAUUUUGGUUCUUCCAAGUUCUCACUGUUUCACUCUAGGCCCAAAUCAACUGUUGGAACUCCUCCAUAUAUUGCACAUGAGGUUCUUUCUCGCAGAGAGUAUGAUGUCAAGAGUUGCAGGAAAACAUCAUAAAGCUUUCUGAUCAGCCUAUCGCAGCAGAGAGUAAAGAGAGUUGUUCAAAAAGAGCUUGAUAGACUAAGGAGCUGCAAAGAAUUUGAAGGUGACUUGGUAUAGUCAAGAAAAAGGGACGCUUUGAUGAAGCAACUGAGGCGAUCCAAAUAUUCUCUUCUAUGCCUACAUUUAUAGAGCAUAAAAAAAUGAACAAUGGCUGGUGGACGUGCACUGAGGUACAUUUUGUUCAUCUGCAUCUCUACCAUUUUCUAUAGCUUGUUACUUAAUUUCCUCUCUGUUUCAAGUGUGGAUGAACAAAACGUUUGUAUUUUGUUUGCUCUAUGUUAUUCUGUUUGUGUGACUUACUAAUAAAGGUCAUUGAUUUCAAGAGAAAUAGAUCAGGUGAACUAGUGAAGAUGAAGAUUUGCUUUUACUGGUAGCUUUCAAUAAUGCCUUACAUGUCAAUAUUAUGUGAGUUGAGCAUGCAACCAAAUGUAGACAGGGAGGAUUCUGUAAAUUUGUUAUCUUGGUUUUCAUGAUGUUUUAAAUAUAUAUAUUUGUAGGUGUAGCUUGAAUUAACUUAUUUCUACUUUAAACCAGCUUUUCAAUAAGAAAAGAGGAUCAUUUUCAGAUACUCAUGAAUGAUUAGGAAUAUCAGUUAUAAUCUUCCAUUUAUUCAGAGGAUAGCACUCACCAGGUUUCAAACUUAGGCCUCAAGAUUAGAGAAUCUUAGUGUUUUCUUGUCUGUUUUCUCAAAUUAAGUAGUGUGGUUUCAUCUGUUUGAUGUAGAUUUUGUCCUCUUGUUCAUAAUUAAUGUGUAAUUUCAGGAAUAUAACUUUGUGUGAGCCCGGUGAUGUAUCUAUUGAGGAAUUGGUGAAGCGUAAAGAGGCUUGCAUAAUUUAGGACUAACAACACUUUAUGAUGUCAAUGACAUAUUAGAAGUCUUGUGAAUAUGGGAGGACUGAACAUUAUUUUCAGUUCUUGUUAAGGUUAAAGCUCUAGUGAUUACUAACACUUACAUAAUGCUUUGAUUGAAUCUCUACUUUACGAUUAACAACACUAAAAUAUAUCACGGAAAAUUUUAAAGUUCCGUGGAUGAAAGAGCCUUGUUUAGGUUAAAAAAAUGAAUGAGAAGCACCCUCCUCUCGUCUCUCGUCUGAGUAUAGUAUGGAGAAGAAGUGACUCUUGGAUGACGUAUGUAACUGAGUUACGGUAAACUUAACACAAAAACACAAAACACAACCAAAACUACAAAAACAUUAUACCAAAAAGGAUACACACACAAA